UAGGGAAUCUUCGGCAAUGGACGAAAGUCUGACCGAGCAACGCCGCGUGAGUGAAGAAGGUUUUCGGAUCGUAAAACUCUGUUGGUAGAGAAGAACGUUGGUGAGAGUGGAAAGCUCAUCAAGUGACGGUAACCACCCAGAAAGGGACGGCUAACUACGUACCAG
rnacentral:rRNA from 1 species